GGGGAUAUAGCUGAGGGUAGAGCGCUCCCUUCGCAUGGGAGAGGGCAGGGGUUCAGUUCCCAUAUCUUCA
rfam:Toxocara canis scaffold580, whole genome shotgun sequence.